GAGAGUGUGGUGUAAUCGGAUAACAUCUCAGUCUACGAAACUGAGGACUUGAGGGUUCAAAUCCCUCCGCUCUCG
rnacentral:tRNA from 1 species